GACGAACGCUGGCGGCGUGCUUAACACAUGCCAGUCGUACGGUAAGGCCCUUUCGGGGGUACACGAGUGGCGAACGGGUGAGUAACACGUGAGUAACCUGCCCACAACUUUGGGAUAACGCUAGGAAACUGGUGCUAAUACUGGAUAUGUGCUCCUGCUGCAUGGUGGGGGUUGGAAAGCUCCGGCGGUUGUGGAUGGACUCGCGGCCUAUCAGCUUGUUGGUGGGGUAGUGGCCUACCAAGGCGGCGACGGGUAGCCGGCCUGGGAGGGUGACCGGCCACAUUGGGACUGAGAUACGGCCCAGACUCCUACGGGAGGCAGCAGUGGGGAAUAUUGCACAAUGGGCGCAAGCCUGAUGCAGCAACGCCGCGUGCGGGAUGACGGCCUUCGGGUUGUAAACCGCUUUCAGCAGGGACGAAGCUUUUUGUGACGGUACCUGCAGAAGAAGCACCGGCUAACUACGUG
rnacentral:rRNA from 1 species